rnacentral:rRNA from 1 species
UACGAAGGGGGCUAGCGUUGCUCGGAAUCACUGGGCGUAAAGCGCACGUAGGUGGGUCGUUAAGUCGGGGGUGAAAUCCUGGAGCUCAACUCCAGAACUGCCUUCGAUGCUGGCGAUCUUGGAGUCCGGGAGAGGUGAGUGGAACUGCGAGUGUAGAGGUGAAAUUCGUAGAUAUUCGCAAGAACACCAGUGGCGAAGGCGGCUCACUGGCCCGGUACUGACGCUGAGAUGCGAAAGCGUGGGGAGCAAACAGG